UGCGUAGGUGGUAUGGCAAGUCAGAAGUGAAAACCCAGGGCUUAACUCUGGGACUGCUUUUGAAACUGUCAGACUGGAGUGCAGGAGAGGUAAGCGGAAUUCCUAGUGUAGCGGUGAAAUGCGUAAAUAUUAGGAGGAACAUCAGUGGCGAAGGCGGCUUACUGGACUGAAACUGACACUGAGGCACGAAAGCGUGGGGAGCAAACA
rnacentral:rRNA from 1 species